rnacentral:rRNA from 1 species
UACAUGGGGUGCAAACGUUGUUCGGAAUUACUGGGCGUAAAGCGCGUGUAGGCGGCUAAGUAAGUCGGGCGUGAAAUCCCACGGCUCAACCGUGGAAGUGCACUCGAAACUGCAUAGCUAGAGUCCUGGAGAGGAAGGUGGAAUGCUUGGUGUAGAGGUGAAAUUCGUAGAUAUCAAGCGGAACACCGGUGGCGAAGGCGGCCUUCUGGACAGUGACUGACGCUGAGACGGCGAAAGCGUGGGGAGCAAACAGGG